rnacentral:rRNA from 1 species
GGAAAGAAAAUGACGGUACCUGACUAAGAAGCUCCGGCUAAAUACGUGCCAGCAGCCGCGGUAAUGCGUAUGGAGCAAGCGUUAUCCGGAUUUACUGGGUGUAAAGGGAGCGCAGGCGGUCUGGCAAGUCUGGUGUGAAAGGCCGGGGCUCAACCCCGGGACUGCAUUGGAAACUGUCAGACUGGAGUGUCGGAGAGGCACGCGGAAUUCCUAGUGUAGCGGUGAAAUGCGUAGAUAUUAGGAGGAACACCAGUGGCGAAGGCGGCUUGCUGGACGAUGACUGACGCUGAGGCUCGAAAGCGUGGGGAGCCAACAAAAGGGGCUUCCCUGGUNGUCCNCGCCGUGGGCGACCACUGAAGGGUGUCGGAGUGCAAGGCCUUUCGGUGCCGCAGCCAAACGCAAUAAGAAUUCCGGCUGGGGAGUUCGCUCCUAAGGAUGAAGACUCAAAAGAAUGGAAGGGAACCCGCACGAGCGGGGGGAGCAUGUGGUUUAAUAGGAAGCAACGUGAAGAACCUUACCAAGCCUUGACAUCUUCGUGACAGCAUAUGUAAUGUAUGUUUCCUCCGGGACAGGAAAGACAGGUGGUGCAUGGUUGUGGUCAGCUUGUGUUGUGAGAUGUUGGGUUAAGUCCCGCAACGAGCGCAACCCUUAUCCUCAGUAGCCAGCGCGUGAAGGCGGGCACUCUGUGGAGACUGCCAGGGAUAACCUGGAGGAAGGCGGGGAUGACGUCAAAUCAUCAUGCCCCUUAUGGCUUGGGCUACACACGUGCUACAAUGGCGUAAACAAAGGGAAGCAGGAUGGUGACAUUGAGCAAAUCCCAAAAAUAACGUCCCAGUUCGGAUUGUAGUCUGCAACCCGACUACAUGAAGCUGGAAUCGCUAGUAAUCGCGGAUCAGAAUGCCGCGGUGAAUACGUUCCCGGGUCUUGCACACACCGCCCGUCAC